UAGGGAAUCUUCGGCAAUGGACGAAAGUCUGACCGAGCAACGCCGCGUGAGUGAAGAAGGUUCUCGAAUCGUAAAACUCUGUUGGUAGAGAAGAACGUUGGUGAGAGUGGAAAGCUCAUCAAGUGACGGUAACUACCCAGAAAGGGACGGCUAACUACGUGCCAC
rnacentral:rRNA from 1 species